UACGUAGGGAGCAAGCGUUGUCCGGAAUUAUUGGGCGUAAAGAGCUCGUAGGCGGUUUGUCGCGUCUGCUGUGAAACCCGAGGCUCAACCUCGGGCCUGCAGUGGGUACGGGCAGACUAGAGUGCGGUAGGGGAGAUUGGAAUUCCUGGUGUAGCGGUGGAAUGCGCAGAUAUCAGGAGGAACACCAAUGGCGAAGGCAGAUCUCUGGGCCGUAACUGACGCUGAGGAGCGAAAGCAUGGGGAGCGAACAGG
rnacentral:rRNA from 1 species